GCCGAGCUUAGAAACGUCGCGUCUCGAUCUUCUUGUGCUUUAUCCCGUGUUGUAAUUAGUGUAUCGUUUUAGUGUGCCGUGGAUUUUCGUCACAUUACAGUCCCCAAGGAAUGAGAUUAAAAUCGAUUCCUGUUACUUUAGUCGCAACUUAUAAUAACCCCAGUGUCAGUGGAAAGUUCUGUUGUGAUAGCCUUAGCACAUUUUUAACUACGGUACCAGUUUAAAAUUGCCAACAGUUGUUUUACCAUUUUUUUAAAGUUGAUGCAUUCGAGCUAAUUCUUUAAACAUAUUAAUUUUGUUCGUCAGUUUUAUCUACGUAUGUCUGCAACACAGGUUUGACAAUUCGAGGUGAUGACGCAAUGCGAGUAGUCUAGCUUUAGCAAGAUCUAGAAACGGGAAAUUAGCAACAGUGUCCAAACGUUGACCUAGACUAUUCAAAUAGCUCACACCUGUGUCCGCCCACUCUUGUACCGCAGAAUUGUCACCUGAGCAGGACAAAGUAAUUACUAGAGGCCCGUGACUGAUUAGCGGGUUGGCGCGAGAUGGAAGGUCGGGUAGACCAGCAGCGGCAGGCCCAGUCGGUAAUGGCCAAUGGUAGAGUGCGCGCGAUGAAGGAGUUGAACUUGAACUUGAACCACGGACCCUCGGGAGCCGGGGUGUACACUCCCACCCCCUACACCCCCUCACCACCCGGCACCCCCCCCUGAGGAUGGCUCCGAGGGUGUUCUCUCCCGCCAACCGACUCAGCUGCACAUCCUCACCCAGCAACAGCUCAUUGACGACGAAGACCUCUCCUCCUGCACCUCCUACUCGGGGACGAUCAGCGAAUCCGGGACUCACUUCAGGCCGAGGAGGGACUACUGGGCCAACAAACUCCAGUUCAUCCUCGCCUGCGUGGGCUACAGCGUCGGCCUCGGCAACCUCUGGCGCUUCCCAUACCUCUGCUACAAGAGUGGAGGAGGUCAAUAUUCUUGUCAUGUGUGUACACUUGAGUACUAGCCCUGUCGCGAUCUUAGAGACAAACAGAGACAGGGAACCAAACUCGAGUUCAUCCUAGCUUGCGUGAGCCUCGGCAACCUCUGGCGCUUCCCCUACCUCUGCUACAAGAGUGGAGGAGGUCAAUAUUCCUGUCAUGUGUGUACACUUGAGUACUAGCCCUGUCGCGAUCUUAGAGACAAACAGAGACAGGGAACCAAACUCGAGUUCAUCCUAGCUUGCGUGAGCCUCGGCAACCUCUGGCGCUUCCCCUACCUCUGCUACAAGAGUGGAGGAGGUCAAUAUUCUUGUCAUUUCUUUCCCGGCUACGUUGUUGCUCCCGUCGUUAUACAUUACACAAAAUAAGCUCUACUGAAUAUAAAGCUAGUCAGAAUAUAUUAUUAGGCUUUACAACAACAUUGUUAUCCACCGUCGUAAUUACUCGACAUAAUAAUUGUCUCCCGAUACUGAGAAUUGGAGUUAAUGUUUAGAACAUGUUAGUGGGUUCGGGACAACACGGAGGAUGAUGGAUACAUGCCAAGAAGGGUGAACCAGUUAUCGUGCUUGAUAGUUUAUAACCCAACAUAUUUGAGCAUUUAGUCUACGAGCGAUCCACUUUGUCCUAACUAUUUGUAGAGUACCUCAACGAACAGGACUUCAGCCGCGCCAGAGUAAAACCAUAUUCCCAAGUCUUUUGUAACGGUCCACUAGAGGAAGAAAGACACAAUGGACUGUAACCCACGCCCUCACGAAGCUGUACCACUGACGAACCGUUGAAUGAAGGUCAACCGUUACAUCCAAGAUUUAUUGUUUUGUUCAACCAUUCUACGACCUUGUGAUGGACGGACAGGUGUCUUACUGCUUGCUAAUCAAGCCUAAGAAGUAAAUGCACCCGUCCGUCAGCCGGAGAUGGACACUUCAGAGAUCUUUCAAAGCCCCAAGAGGUACAAAAUGUCUGUUGAUACUUUCGAGAGUACUCUUGCAAAACCCCAAGAGGUAUAAAAUGUCUGUUGAUACUUUCGAGAGUACUCUUGCAAAACCCCAAGAGGUAUAAAAUGUCUGUUGAUACUUUCGAGAGUACUCUUGCAAAACCCCAAGAGGUACAAAAUGUCUGUUGAUACUUUCGAGAGUAGCCUACUCUUGCAAAACCCCAAGAGGUACAAAAUGUCUGUUGAUACUUUCGAGAGUACUCUUGCAAAACCCCAAGAGGUACAAAAUGUCUGUUGAUACUUUCGAGAGUACUCUUGCAAAACCCUAAGAGGUACAAAAUGUCUGUUGAUACUUUCGAGAGUACUCUUGUAUAUUACCGACCACAAUUAAUGGGAUAGUUAAUAUAUAACGGUGAAAAAUUAUAUCUCUAUUGGCUUUAUACCAUUUAUGGUGGUAUAUGACUUUAAUACUUUAUUUUUUAAUUAAAACAAGACCUUUUGACACACCACCAGAGCAGUGCUAUCAAUGUCUAUUGUGGACCGUGGGACAGUAUCCUUUCUGGUAUUUACACCUCUCUGUUGACUGGCACAGAAAUAAUAUAAUGUCAUGACUCUCAACAGGCAAAUACCUACGACUCCGUGGCAAAGAGGACUAACGAUCAAACAAAUUACGAAAUGUGUUCGGUUCUCGGUUACCUUGACGAAGACUCGUCUUGUGUCUGUUUCUAAAUGAACCAUCCAACCUUGAGUAUUCUGAAAACUCAUUAUCCCUUGACGGCCAGAUCCAAUGUUCCUAGCCGAGAAAGAACCACAUUUAUUAUGUUGCUUCUGGUGCUAGCGUUCUGGGGUCUAUAUUGAAAGAGUCAUAAUGUGCUAAGGGGAGAGUCAUAUAACAGGAUCGAGAAUACAGGGUGAGUCAGAAGACGAGUCAGAACGUCUGAGAUGAAAGUGACCCGCGACGCUUUGCAAAUGGCGGCAAUUACCUAAACCCACGUGACCACUAAAACUGGUUGUGAACCACAACGCUUUAACGACGUGAAGAUUGUAGACUCGCGUCUCUGUCUCGAGGCCUCGGCUUAAGUGUAAUAGAUCAUGUUCAGUGCUUGUAGCGAUUUGGUCAGUUUGACCGAUGGCCGCAGGCCGAAUGUAUGUAUUUACGUGCAGAAUCUCCCUCGCCCUCCUAUAUAAAGGGUCUUGUAAGGUACAAACCACUAGAGGGGGUUUUAUGGAUAAGAAAAAUAACGUUAGGGUUUCAAUAAAAAAGUCCACAUUCGAUUCGAUGAUUUUACAAAAUGGCUAACAAAUGUUAAAAACUAAAUAUGUGCUGUGUGGUAUUCUAAUCUUCAGUGCGUGAAAACUAGAAUACAUAUAUCAGACAAUAUUUAUUUACUAACAUAUUCUUUCUAUAUCUAACACAACCAACCAUUUUGAUGGCUUACUUAACUGUGAUUUGGACUGGUAAUCACGUGAUCUAGAUAGCUGGAGAUCACUUUUAGGGGUCGUUUGAGGUUAGGACGUUUGUAGAUGAGGGUGGUUUGAGGCUAGGGUUUUUUUGGGUGAGGAUGGAUAGAGACCAUGGCGUUUGUAGUGAUGAUGGUUUGAGGCUAAGGUGUUUGUGGGUUAGAAUGAUUUAAGGCUAGGACAUUUGUAGAUGAGACUGGUUUGAGGCUAGGAUGUUUUGGGUGAGGAUGGAUAGAGACCAUUGCGUUUGUAGUGAGGUUGGUUUGAGGCUAAGGUGUUUGUAGGUGAGAAUGAUUUAAGGCUAAGACGUUUGUAGAUGAGGGUGGUUUGAGGCUAGGGUGUUUUGGGUGAGGAUGGGUAGAGACCAUGGCGUUUGUAGUGAUGAUGGUGUGAGGCUUAAGUGUUUGUGAGUGAGGGUGGUUUGAGGCUAGGGAGUUUGUGGGAUAGAUGGAUUGAGGGUGUUUGUGGAGAGGAUAGAGUGAGGGGUGUUUCGAGAUAAGGAUCGAUUUGAGGCUGAGAUGUUUUCAAGUGAGGAUGGUUUGAGACUAGGGUGUUUGUGGGAGAGAUGGAUUAAGGGGUGUUUAUGGAGAGGAUAGAGUGAGGGGUGUUUCGAGAUAAGGAUCGAUUUGAGGCUAAGAUGUUUUCAGGUGAGGAUGGUUUGAGACUAGCGUUUUAUUGUUGGGGACUUUUUGUAGCUAGAGAGAACAGAAUUAUUAAGAUGAAAUUCACUCACUAAAGAGGUCUCUUGAAUCUAGAUUAAAAGUUUAGGUUUCAUUAAAUUAAAGAAUUAUAGGAAACUAUAAUUUCAUUACUAAAUUAUUCUUUAAGUGUCACAAAUUGUCAUGCUUUUGUGAAACUUUGAACAUACUUUAUUAAUUUAGGCGAUUGAUUAGCGCUGGUAGGACUUGGUUUUGGUCGUAGUUGACUGUUCAUGCGAUUUUCGGUAGCCAGCUUUAUUAUAAACCGAUAUUUUGGUGGUUGCAAUCCCACGUAAACCUCUAACACGGAGUGACUUCCAAUUACUUAGUCAUACUUUAUUCAUGUCCACCAUAAAAUACGUAAAUCUCAGAAGAUGGUAGUUACUGAUCAUACCUUUUCUCAGAGGAAUCAAUUCCUUGUCAUCAACAGGUAUCAGCUUGGUUUUUGCCUACAUGCAUAAGACUGCGAUACAUGUCUACAAGAACUAAUUUAAUUUAGUUACUUAUGCAAAUAUUUUUACUUGGAACGUUUCGCGUCAUUAAUGAUUGACGAUAAUUACUCACGGGGCUCUGACGCACAGCGCGAGCAAUGUGAUCACUAAGUACUAACCAGAAUCUGUAAAUCAUUUCUCGUAAAACGAGCAAUAAAUGUCAAAACAAUCGCAAAAGCUCGCUGCAUUGAUACCGUUACUGAUAACCGAAUGUGAGUCAUCCUCAUUGUGUGUGCUCUGUCGCAAUCGUCAUACAUGAGCUACAUGUUCAGAGAAACUACAGUAUUAGUUAAUGUUUGUCUUAGGUACAGUUAUACUUAAUCCAGGAGUACCCUCAUUUUCCCAUAGCAACUGAAUUCAUCAUUUUCCCACUAACAGGUUGAAUUCAUCAUUUUUACCCUAACAGCUGAAAUUCAUCAUUUCCCCUAACAGGCUGA
rnacentral:misc_RNA from 1 species